GGUGAGUAAUGCCUGGGAAUAUGCCUUGAUGUGGGGGAUAACCAUUGGAAACGAUGGCUAAUACCGCAUAAUGCCUACGGGCCAAAGAGGGGGAUCUUCGGACCUCUCGCGUCAAGAUUAGCCCAGGUGGGAUUAGCUAGUUGGUGAGGUAAUGGCUCACCAAGGCGACGAUCCCUAGCUGGUCUGAGAGGAUGAUCAGCCACACUGGAACUGAGACACGGUCCAGACUCCUACGGGAGGCAGCAGUGGGGAAUAUUGCACAAUGGGCGCAAGCCUGAUGCAGCCAUGCCGCGUGUGUGAAGAAGGCCUUCGGGUUGUAAAGCACUUU
rnacentral:rRNA from 2 species